AACGUGGGUAACCUGCCCAUCAGAAGGGGAUAACACUUGGAAACAGGUGCUAAUACCGUAUAACACUAUUUCCGCAUGGAAGAAAGUUGAAAGGCGCUUUUGCGUCACUGAUGGAUGGACCCGCGGUGCAUUAGCUAGUUGGUGAGGUAACGGCUCACCAAGGCCACGAUGCAUAGCCGACCUGAGAGGGUGAUCGGCCACACUGGGACUGAGACACGGCCCAG
rnacentral:rRNA from 1 species